GACGAACGCUGGCGGCGUGCCUAAUACAUGCAAGUCGAACGCACUCUCGUUUAGAUUGAAGGAGCUUGCUCCUGAUUGAUAAACAUUUGAGUGAGUGGCGGACGGGUGAGUAACACGUGGGUAACCUGCCCUAAAGUGGGGGAUAACAUUUGGAAACAGAUGCUAAUACCGCAUAAAACCUAACACCGCAUGGUGUAGGGUUGAAAGAUGGUUUCGGCUAUCACUUUAGGAUGGACCCGCGGUGCAUUAGUUAGUUGGUGAGGUAAAGGCUCACCAAGACCGUGAUGCAUAGCCGACCUGAGAGGGUAAUCGGCCACACUGGGACUGAGACACGGCCCAGACUCCUACGGGAGGCAGCAGUAGGGAAUCUUCCACAAUAGGACGAAAGUACUGAUGGAGCAACGACCGCCGUGAGUGAAGAAAGGUUUUCGGUAGUCGUAAAACUAC
rnacentral:rRNA from 1 species